GGGUCAGCAAUAUGUGUUUGUUUUAUUUUUUAAAGGAACACUAUAUGGUCAGGAACACAAUUUAACCCCUUAAGGACCAAGCUUCUGGAAUAAAAGGGAAUCAUGACAUGUCACACAUGUCAUGUAUCCUUAAGGGGUUAAAAUAAAUAAUAGAGAGAGCAGAUACUGCAAAGUUUGUGCAAUGUUUGCAAAGAGCCAUACCUCUAAACUACGCUGUGUUAACUGGGACCAUUCGUAACUUGGAUUCCUGUCCUGACUUUCAGGAACUUAUUCAUAGUUUUCCAC